rnacentral:rRNA from 1 species
ACUCCUACGGGAGGCAGCAGUAAGGAAUAUUGCGCAAUGGGCGAAAGCCUGACGCAGCGACGCCGCGUGGGGGAUGAAGGUUCUCGGAUUGUAAACCCCUUUCGUGAGGAAAGAUAAAGUGGGUUACCACUUGGACGGUACCUCAAGAAGAAGCCACGGCUAACUUCGUGCCAGCAGCCGCGGUAAUACGAAGGUGGCGAGCGUUGUUCGGAUUUACUGGGCGUAAAGAGCACGUAGGCGGUUAGGUAAGCCUCUUGGGAAAGCUCCCGGCUUAACCGGGAAAGGUCGAGGGGAACUACUUAGCUAGAGGGCGGGAGAGGAGCGCGGAAUUCCCG